CGGGGUGGAGUAACGCGUGGGUAACCUGCCUCACACAGGGGGAUAACAGUUAGAAAUGACUGCUAAUACCGCAUAACCCGAUAGGAUCGCAUGAUCCAGACGGAAAAGAUUUAUCGGUGUGAGAUGGACCCGUGUCUGAUUAGCUAGUUGGUGAGGUAACGGCCCACCAAGGCGACGAUCGGUAGCCGGCCUGAGAGGGUGAACGGCCACAUUGGGACUGAGACACGGCCCAA
rnacentral:rRNA from 1 species